UACAGAGGGGGCAAGCGUUGUUCGGAAUUACUGGGCGUAAAGGGCGCGUAGGCGGCCCGCUAAGUCGAACGUGAAAUCCCCGGGCUCAACCCGGGAACUGCGUCCGAGACUGGCAGGCUCGAAUCCGGGAGAGGGAUGUGGAAUUCCAGGUGUAGCGGUGAAAUGCGUAGAUAUUGGGAGGAACACCAGUGGCGAAGGCGGCUCACUGGACCGGUACUGACGCUGAGGCGCGAAAGCGUGGGGAGCAAACAGG
rnacentral:rRNA from 1 species